rnacentral:rRNA from 1 species
UACGUAGGGUGCGAGCGUUUGUCCGGAAUUAUUGGGCGUAAAGCGCACGUAGGCGGCUUGGCAAGUCGGAUGUGAAAUCCCUCGGCUCAACCAAGGAAGUGCAUCCGAAACUGCUGAGCUUGAGUACUUAAGAGGAUCGCGGAAUUCCCGGUGUAGAGGUGAAAUUCGUAGAUAUCGGGAGGAACACCAGUGGCGAAGGCGGCGAUCUGGGAAGAUACUGACGCUGAGGUGCGAAAGCGUGGGGAGCAAACAGG